rnacentral:lncRNA from 1 species
AGAGAAUCAAAUCAAUGAAGCAAAAGCGAUAGAUAUAGGCAUAUUCAAAAAAUCACGUAGUAAUCUUUUUUUUUUUUAACAUUCCCAAGAAGUAAACCAUUGAUAGUAGUUCCACGGGCAUCGAAAAGGAAGAGUAAACCUCACUGAUUUUUAACGCCUGAACCAUGAUAUGAAAUAAGUCGAUAAAGUCUAAAUCCAAUUUCCAAAAUUCGAAAGCGGUAAAUGCGCAAUAUGUGACUCACCUGACGAUCUUAUUCUACAUAGUAUCUCGUUAGACAACCACUAUGUUUAUAUCCUUUAUUUCUCAUACAAAGUGCGUAUACACUUAACAAAACCACUUCUUCUUUGAACAGUAAAGAGAGAAACAAAUAAAAUAAAAAAAGGGUCCGGCCCUCCUCAGUAUCACCUAGGAAGAGGCCAUUGAUUGGAAUAGAAAAUUUAGGAAGAAUUGGCUUCGAAUAAAUUUCCUGGGAUCCUCUUCCUUUCGAACUACAAACAUGGGAAUCGUUGAAAUAGCUCUUUGAUUGAAAGAGGAUGAUUCCUAUAAUACAUUACUCCAGUCGAGUCCAAUGGAAUUUCAAAAUGAAGAUGUUUUGAUUUUGUUCCAAACGUGUUGCAGAACC